AUUGAACGCUGGCGGCAGGCCUAACACAUGCAAGUCGAACGGUAACAGGAAGAAGCUUGCUUCUUUGCUGACGAGUGGCGGACGGGUGAGUAAUGUCUGGGAAACUGCCUGAUGGAGGGGGAUAACUACUGGAAACGGUAGCUAAUACCGCAUAACGUCGCAAAACCAAAGAGGGGGACCUUCGGGCCUCUUGCCAUCGGAUGUGCCCAGAUGGGAUUAGCUAGUAGGUGGGGUAACGGCUCACCUAGGCGGCGAUCCCUAGCUGGUCUGAGAGGAUGACCAGCCACACUGGAACUGAGACACGGUCCAGACUCCUACGGGAGGCAGCAGUGGGGAAUAUUGCACAAUGGGCGCAAGCCUGAUGCAGCCAUGCCGCGUGUAUGAAGAAGGCCUUCGGGUUGUAAAGUACUUUCAGCGGAGAGGAAGGGAGUAAAGUUAAUACCUUUGCUCAUUGACGUUACCCGCAGAAGAAGCACCGGCUAACUCCGUG
rnacentral:rRNA from 1 species